rnacentral:rRNA from 1 species
CGCUACACAUGCAGUCGACGGUGACACGGAGCUUGCUCUGUGGGAUCAGUGGCGAACGGGUGAGUAACACGUGAGCAACCUGCCCCUGACUCUGGGAUAAGCGCUGGAAACGGCGUCUAAUACUGGAUAUGUGACGUGACCGCAUGGUCUGCGUCUGGAAAGAAUUUCGGUUGGGGAUGGGCUCGCGGCCUAUCAGCUUGUUGGUGAGGUAAUGGCUCACCAAGGCGUCGACGGGUAGCCGGCCUGAGAGGGUGACCGGCCACACUGGGACUGAGACACGGCCCAUACUCCUACGGGAGGCAGCAUUGGGGAAUAUUGCACAAUGGGCGCAAGCCUGAUGCACCAACGCC